GGUAUUUAUGAUCUAUAAGGAAAUCAAUUUUACCAUAGGCUAAUUGAUAAAAACAAGAGUUAGGUUCCUAUGGCAUCUCCUCAAGGUUAUACCAAA